GUGAGGAAUUAUGCGCAAUGGGGGAAACCCUGACGCUGCGACGCCGCGUGGGUGAUGAAGGUCUUCGGAUCGUAAAACCCUGUCGAGAGGGAAGAAACGCUCGGGUGCUAACACCAUUCGAGCCUGACGGUACCUCUGGAGGAAGCCCCGGCUAACUCCGUGCCAGCAGCCGCGGUAAUACGGAGGGGGCGAGCGUUGUUCGGAAUUACUGGGCGUAAAGCGCGCGUAGGCGGUCCCGUAAGUCGAAUGUGAAAGCCCUCGGCUCAACCGAGGAACUGCGUUCGAUACUGCUGGGCUUGAGUCCGGUAGGGGAUGGCAGAAUUCCCGGUGUAGCGGUGGAAUGCGUAGAUAUCGGGAGGAAUACCGAUGGCGAAGGCGGCCAUCUGGGCCGGAACUGACGCUGAGGCGCGAAAGCUAGGGGAGCAAACAGGAUUAGAAACCCCAGUAGUCC
rnacentral:rRNA from 1 species